rnacentral:rRNA from 1 species
UGCGAGCGUUAUUCGGAUUUAUUGGGCGUAAAGAGCUCGUAGGCGGUUCGAUAAGUCGGGUGUUAAACCCCCAGGCUCAACCUGGGGCCGCCACCCGAAACUGUCGUGACUAGAGUUUGGUAGGGGAUCACGGAAUUCCUGGUGUAGCGGUGGAAUGCGCAGAUAUCAGGAGGAACACCAGUAGCGAAGGCGGUGAUCUGGGCCAAUACUGACGCUGAGGAGCGAAAGCGUGGGGAGCGAACAGGAUUAGAUACCCUGGUAGUCCACGCCGUAAACGGUGGGCACUAGGUGUGGGGACUUUUCAACGGUUUCCGCGCCGCAGCUAACGCAUUAAGUGCCCCGCCUGGGGAGUACGGCCGCAAGGUUAAAACUCAAAGAAAUUGACGGGGGCCCGCACAAGCAGCGGAGCAUGUGGCUUAAUUCGAUGCAACGCGAAAAACCUUACCUAGAUUUGACAUGCUGGGAAAAGCCGUAGAGAUACGGUGUCCUUCGGGGCUCAGCACAGGUGGUGCAUGGCUGUCGUCAGCUCGUGUCGUGAGAUGUUGGGUUAAGUCCCGCAACGAGCGCAACCCUUGUUCUAUGUUGCCAGCACGUAAUGGUGGGGACGCGUAGAAGACUGCCGGGGUCAACUCGGAGGAAGGUGGGGACGACGUCAAGUCAUCAUGCCCCUUACGUCUAGGGCUGCACACAUGCUACAAUGGGCGGUACAGAGGGCUGCUAAACCGCGAGGUGGAGCCAAUCCCUAAAACCGCUCUCAGUUCAGAUUGCAGGCUGCAACUCGCCUGCAUGAAGUUGGAGUUGCUAGUAAUCCCGGAUCAG